ensembl:lncRNA
GUGAUAAAGUUCACUUCCAGCUUCAAAGAUGGGUUAUCACCUUGUUAUGCCUCAUAAAGUGCUGUAACAUCUUCUUUGUAAUUAGCUAUAUUUGGUGCAAGUUGCAAUAGUAUAAUUCUUGCUGUGACAGGAAGAAAAAACAGCAAGUGCAUUUAAUUACAAGAACUCGGCUCCGACAUGCCAGUAUGUGUAUGGCGUUCUCAGCUUCUCUUUUCUCACCCAUAGGAGAUGGAGACGGGGGUCGGGCACCCCUGGGUGCCACAACACCUCUGCCACAGCGGUGACUUCCUCUUGUAGAACGGCACUUGUUCACUCCUGUUGUAGGGACUUAACGACGAGCUCUUUGGCUGACUUUCGCUUCAAGGAGCUGACAACACCAGCUUUCCUUCCAACGCAGUGUUUACACAGUUACAUAUGUCUGGACUCACAAGAGCGCUAGAGGGCUGUUGCCCGUCGUGGCCCGUGCUGCAUCGCUAAGACACGAGGAGCACGGCGCAACAGUACGUACCACCUCACUUCCUUCUGUUCUGUUCACAGCACAUCUGAAGUAGGCAAACUGCACUUCUACUAACACCCCUCCCCGAUACCCAUGUUGCCGUUGGACGGCAGCCACCAAUCAUGAGCCAACCGAGUUAACACAACUUCCGUUCAACACAAGGAACCAUCUGUUUUUAAGGCAGAAAAUAAAUAAAUAAAUGCAUGCACCCCAACACACACACACACACCGUGCAUCACUCGUAAAUAGAUGCACAAAAGAAAAAUGUGUUUUCGCAAAGGGUUUUAUUCACGCUCGACCACAUGUCUUUUUGCAUAAGUCAGUGUGACUAAAAAGUUUAGGACGGAGACAAAUUGCAAUAACCCCAAACUCAUACUUGGAACUCGCAAUUUUUGUGUUAACGUUCUCAUUAAGUUCGUUCUGAAUGGUCUGUUAACAUUUAAAAUGUCCAAUUCUUUAAUUGUUUUAAAAAAAAUUCUUGGUUAUACUAACGUUAGAGAAAACAAUGGGAACGUUCCAUUUUUUAAAAUUUGCAAAUAUAAUGCGAACAUAACUUUUGAAUGUUCUCUAAAUGUUCCAAAAACGUAAUAACAUUAUUAAAACCCAAGACCAUUUCAUAAUUUUUUUUUGUGCUAACGUUUUUAGAACGUUAUUAAAGACCAGAUAACACUGAAAAUUCUUUUACUGGAGAAUGUUUGUUCAUAACCGCGAGAGAAACUUUUUUCAGAACAUUUAAUUUUUUACAAACAUUGUAAGAACGUUACUUUGGAAUGUUCUCUAAAUGUUCUAAAAACAUAACAAGUAUAACAUUAAAAAAUUCAAUUAAGAACUACAACAUUUCAGAACAUUUCAUGAAUCAUAUUUUUUGUGCUAACAUUUUGAGAAUGUUACUAACGUUUAACUUUAACUUUACUUGAAGAAUGUUCAUUUAUAACUGAGAAAAUCUUGCCAGAACAUUUCAUUUUGCAAACAUUAUGGAAACGUUACAUCUGAAUCUUCUUAAAUGUUUUUGCGAUAUAAUUGCGAUAUGUGACGAGAGCUGAAUGUAUGGUGCUUUUAUUCUUGUGAUCUCUAUUCUAAGUUGUUUUUGAAUUACGAAAGCUGUUUCUGUAUGUACUUAUUGUCCAUGCCUCUGUUCUGCAGGAUAACGGUUAUGGCCUUUAAGGUGGAGGUACAUCCAUUAUCGUCCUUAAAGAGCUGAGGUAUAUUUUAAUAAAUGCAUUAUUUAGCAGUUUUGACACUGGGGCCAUACGUUAACACUGAGAUCCAAUUUCUGUGUAAAAACUAAGCAAAGCAGAGAAAAAGACGUCAUUAUUCAGAGAGCCUAUUUCUAGGUUUCUUUUUUAAAAGCUAUUUCAGGAGCCAAGGGCUGUUAUAAAUGUGUCUGCCUAAAUUUACCUCAGUAACAUUAGUCUUGACUCCACCUCUACUAGUAUAUUUUCCAGGCAGCGUGAUGACAAGACUUCAUCUGUGGAGAUGACAUGACUGCUGUGUGGAAAGCUUUUUCUCCUCUUUUGUUCUUCGCUGUCACAAUCAUGAGGCACAUGAAGCACAAUCAGUCAUGACUUUCUAAAGCUUCUCUGUACUAUCUUCGCUGUACAGUAUGAACAAAAAUAAUGAUAGGAAUUUUGAAAUGUGCACUGCAAUUCAAAAGUUUGGAUUUUUUAUGUUUUUGAAGUAAGUCUUACCAAGGUUACAUUUAUUGAAUUAAAUACACUAAAACAGUAAUUGUGCGAAAUAUUCUUCUAGUUUAAAAUAAGUGUUUUCUAUUUUAUUGUAUUUUAAAAUGUUAUUCAUUCCUAUGGCAAAGCUGAAUUUUCAGCAUCAUUACUCCAGUCUUCAGUGUCACACGAUCCUUCAGAAAUCAUUAUAAAAAGAAAAACAUUCAAAAGAAAAA